rnacentral:rRNA from 1 species
AUUGAACGCUGGCGGCAGGCCUAACACAUGCAAGUCGAACGGUAACAGGAAGAAGCUUGCUUCUUUGCUGACGAGUGGCGGACGGGUGAGUAAUGUCUGGGAAACUGCCUGAUGGAGGGGGAUAACUACUGGAAACGGUAGCUAAUACCGCAUAACGUCGCAAGACCAAAGAGGGGGACCUUCGGGCCUCUUGCCAUCGGAUGUGCCCAGAUGGGAUUAGCUAGUAGGUGGGGUAACGGCUCACCUAGGCGACGAUCCCUAGCUGGUCUGAGAGGAUGACCAGCCACACUGGAACUGAGACACGGUCCAGACUCCUACGGGAGGCAGCAGUGGGGAAUAUUGCACAAAGGGCGCAAGCCUGAUGCAGCCAUGCCGCGUGUAUGAAGAAGGCCUUCGGGUUGUAAAGUACUUUCAGCGGGGAGGAAGGGAGUAAAGUUAAUACCUUUGCUCAUUGACGUUACCCGCAGAAGAAGCGCCGGCUAACUCCGUG